rnacentral:rRNA from 1 species
GAUGAACGCUGGCGGCGUGCCUAAUACAUGCAAGUCGAGCGAACAGAUAAGGCUCUUGCUCCUUUGACGUUAGCGGCGGACGGGUGAGUAACACGUGGAUAACCUACCUAUAAGACUGGGAUAACUUCGGGAAACCGGAGCUAACACCGGAUAACAUAUUGAACCGCAUGGUUCAAUAGUGAAAGGCGGCUUUGCUGUCACUUAUAGAUGGAUCCGCGCCGUAUUAGCUAGUUGGUAAGGUAACGGCUUACCAAGGCAACGAUACGUAGCCGACCUGAGAGGGUGAUCGGCCACACUGGAACUGAGACACGGUCCAGACUCCUACGGGAGGCAGCAGUAGGGAAUCUUCCGCAAUGGGCGAAAGCCUGACGGAGCAACGCCGCGUGAGUGAUGAAGGUCUUCGGAUCGUAAAACUCUGUUAUCAGGGAAGAACAACUGUGUAAGUAACUGUGCACAUCUUGACGGUACCUGAUCAGAAAGCCACGGCUAACUACGUG